UACGUAGGGGGCAAGCGUUGUCCGGAAUCAUUGGGCGUAAAGCGCGUGUAGGCGGCCCGGUAAGUCCGCUGUGAAAGUCGGGGGCUCAACCCUCGAAUGCCGGUGGAUACUGUCGGGCUAGAGUGCGGAAGAGGCGAGUGGAAUUCCUGGUGUAGCGGUGAAAUGCGCAGAUAUCAGGAGGAACACCAAUUGCGAAGGCAGCUCGCUGGGACGUGACUGACGCUGAGACGGCGAAAGCGUGGGGAGCAAACAGG
rnacentral:rRNA from 1 species